rnacentral:rRNA from 1 species
GAGUCUCCUGAAGGAACGUUGAAGACGACGACGUUGAUAGGUCGGGUGUGUAAGCGCAGCGAUGCGUUGAGCUAACCGGUACUAAUGAACCGUGAGGCUUAACCUU